rnacentral:rRNA from 1 species
CGGAGAGUUUGAUCCUGGCUCAGGACGAACGCUGGCGGCGUGCCUAAUACAUGCAAGUCGAGCGGACAGAAGGGAGCUUGCUCCCGGAUGUUAGCGGCGGACGGGUGAGUAACACGUGGGUAACCUGCCUGUAAGACUGGGAUAACUCCGGGAAACCGGAGCUAAUACCGGAUAGUUCCUUGAACCGCAUGGUUCAAGGAUGAAAGACGGUUUCGGCUGUCACUUACAGAUGGACCCGCGGCGCAUUAGCUAGUUGGUGGGGUAAUGGCUCACCAAGGCGACGAUGCGUAGCCGACCUGAGAGGGUGAUCGGCCACACUGGGACUGAGACACGGCCCAGACUCCUACGGGAGGCAGCAGUAGGGAAUCUUCCGCAAUGGACGAAAGUCUGACGGAGCAACGCCGCGUGAGUGAUGAAGGUUUUCGGAUCGUAAAGCUCUGUUGUUAGGGAAGAACAAGUGCGAGAGUAACUGCUCGCACCUUGACGGUACCUAACCAGAAAGCCACGGCUAACUACGUGCCAGCAGCCGCGGUAAUACGUAGGUGGCAAGCGUUGUCCGGAAUUAUUGGGCGUAAAGGGCUCGCAGGCGGUUUCUUAAGUCUGAUGUGAAAGCCCCCGGCUCAACCGGGGAGGGUCAUUGGAAACUGGGAAACUUGAGUGCAGAAGAGGAGAGUGGAAUUCCACGUGUAGCGGUGAAAUGCGUAGAGAUGUGGAGGAACACCAGUGGCGAAGGCGACUCUCUGGUCUGUAACUGACGCUGAGGAGCGAAAGCGUGGGGAGCGAACAGGAUUAGAUACCCUGGUAGUCCACGCCGUAAACGAUGAGUGCUAAGUGUUAGGGGGUUUCCGCCCCUUAGUGCUGCAGCUAACGCAUUAAGCACUCCGCCUGGGGAGUACGGUCGCAAGACUGAAACUCAAAGGAAUUGACGGGGGCCCGCACAAGCGGUGGAGCAUGUGGUUUAAUUCGAAGCAACGCGAAGAACCUUACCAGGUCUUGACAUCCUCUGACAACCCUAGAGAUAGGGCUUUCCCUUCGGGGACAGAGUGACAGGUGGUGCAUGGUUGUCGUCAGCUCGUGUCGUGAGAUGUUGGGUUAAGUCCCGCAACGAGCGCAACCCUUGAUCUUAGUUGCCAGCAUUCAGUUGGGCACUCUAAGGUGACUGCCGGUGACAAACCGGAGGAAGGUGGGGAUGACGUCAAAUCAUCAUGCCCCUUAUGACCUGGGCUACACACGUGCUACAAUGGACAGAACAAAGGGCUGCAAGACCGCAAGGUUUAGCCAAUCCCAUAAAUCUGUUCUCAGUUCGGAUCGCAGUCUGCAACUCGACUGCGUGAAGCUGGAAUCGCUAGUAAUCGCGGAUCAGCAUGCCGCGGUGAAUACGUUCCC